AGGGGGCGCGCGUCCAGCCGUGACGGGAGCCGCCGGGCGCUGAGGCCGCGGGAGGGUUGGGGGCUGCGGCCUGAGUGGGAGAGGGGAACAGGUCAGCGCCGACCCUGAGCCUCGGCAAACACCCAUGGUUCCAGACGUCCGAAGACACAGAAAUGCUCAAGAUACGCACAGAGGAGCCAGGCGUGGUGGAGCACACCUAUAACCCCACUACUUGGGAGGCUGGGCCUGAAGGAUCAUGUGUUUGAGGCCAUUUCGAGCUACAUACCGAGUUCAAGUUACAGGCCCAACAAUAUCUGUACCAGGCUGGGAGGUGUGAUCACCCAGUGGCAGAGUGCUUGCCUAGCCUGCCUAACGCCCUGCGUUGGGAUCCCCAGCUUCCGAAAACAAAAAGAUGGCUUAUUGUUGGUUUCCUCUCCCACAGGCCUGACCACUGCAGGGUCCUCAGUUAUUAGAAGCAGCAGUGCCUGAGGCAGAGCAAGGACAAGCAUUUCUAGCGGGCCCCCACAGCCAGGCCUCCUUGCCCAAGACCAGGUAGGUCACCGGCUGGGGCGCCCUGCAAAGGACUGGCCGGCCACAGCAGAGUCCAAGUCUGGGUGGGCCCGCAGGUGAACACGCCCCUGUGCUCAA
rnacentral:lncRNA from 1 species